rnacentral:rRNA from 1 species
UACGGGAGGGUGCAAGCAUUAAUCGGAAUUAUUGGGCGUAAAGGGCGCGUAGGCGGAUUUGUAAGUCAGAUGUGAAAUUCCGAGGCUCAACUUCGGAGCUGCAUCUGAAACUACAAACCUGGAGGGAUGGCGGAGAAAAUGGAAUUCCGCGUGUAGCAGUGAAAUGCGUAGAGAUGCGGAGGAACACCGAUGGCGAAGGCAGCCCCCUGGGCCAACACUGACGCUCAGGCACGAAAGCGUGGGGAGCAACAGG